rnacentral:tRNA from 1 species
GCUUAGGUAUUUUAAUAUAAAAUGUUGUUUUGUGGAAUCAAUGAUAUGGAUUAUCCAUCUUAGGCCG